UACGAACUGUGCAAACGUUAUUCGGAAUCACUGGGCUUAAAGGGUGCGUAGGCGGCUAUUUAAGUAGGGUGUGAAAGCCCCCGGCUCAACCGGGGAAUUGCGUCCUAAACUGGAUGGCUCGAGUGAGAUAGAGGUGUGUGGAGCUUCCGGUGGAGCGGUGAAAUGUGUUGAUAUCGGAAGGAACGCCGGUGGCGAAAGCGACACACUGGGUCUUAACUGACGCUGAGGCACGAAAGCCAGGGGAGCGAACGGG
rnacentral:rRNA from 1 species